UUCUCUUACGGGAGGCAGCAGUAGGGAAUCUUCCACAAUGGACGAAAGUCUGAUGGAGCAACGCCGCGUGAGUGAAGAAGUAUCUCGGUACGUAAAGCUCUAUCAGCAGGGAAGAAAAAAAGUCUUUGGCUUUGGACGGUACCUGACUAAGAAGCCCCGGCUAACUACGUGCCAGCAGCCGCGGUAAUACGUAGGGGGCAAGCGUUAUCCGGAUUUACUGGGUGUAAAGGGAGCGUAGACGGUGCAGCAAGUCUGAUGUGAAAGGUCGGGGCCCAACCCCGGGACUGCAUUGGAAACUGUUGAAC
rnacentral:rRNA from 1 species